rfam:Schistosoma curassoni strain Dakar, Senegal genome assembly, scaffold: SCTD_contig0008749
AUCGAGCUGAUGAGUCGCAAAUAGGACGAAACGUGUGUCGAACUAGAU